rnacentral:rRNA from 1 species
AGAGUUUGAUCCUGGCUCAGAUUGAACGCUGGCGGCAUGCCUAACACAUGCAAGUCGAACGGCAGCACAGUAUGUAGCAAUACAUAUGGGUGGCGAGUGGCGGACGGGUGCGUAAUAUGUAGGGAUCUGCCCUGAAGCGGGGGACAACCCGGGGAAACCCGGGCUAAUACCGCAUAAUACUCUACGGAGGAAAUCUGGCACGCAAGUGCUGGGGCUUUAGGAUGAACCUACAUCCGAUUAGCUAGUUGGUGAGGUAACGGCUCACCAAGGCAAUGAUCGGUAGCUGGUCUGAGAGGAUGACCAGCCACACUGGGACUGAGACACGGCCCAGACUCCUACGGGAGGCAGCAGUGGGGAAUAUUGGACAAUGGGGGAAACCCUGAUCCAGCAAUGCCGCGUGGGUGAAGAAGGCCUUCGGGUUGUAAAGCCCUUUAGGCGGGGAAGAAGGUUAUAGGGUGACAAGCCUUAUAACUUGACGGUACCCGCAGAAUAAGCACCGGCUAACUCUGUGCCAGCAGCCGCGGUAAUACAGAGGGUGCGAGCGUUAAUCGGAUUUACUGGGCGUAAAGGGCGCGUAGGUGGUAAGGCAAGUAAGAUGUGAAAGCCCUGGGCUUAACCUGGGAAGUGCAUCUUAAACUGCCUAACUAGAGUAUGGUAGAGGGUAGUGGAAUUUCCGGUGUAGCGGUGAAAUGCGUAGAGAUCGGAAGGAACGCCAGUGGUGAAGACGACUACCUGGACCAAUACUGACACUGAGGCGCGAAAGCGUGGGGAUCAAACAGGAUUAGAUACCCUAGUAGUCC